CGAAUGCUGACAUAAGUAACGAUAAAGCGGGUGAAAAGCCCGCUCGCCGGAAGACCAAGGGUUCCUGUCCAACGUUAAUCGGGGCAGGGUGAGUCGACCCCUAAGGCGAGGCCGAAAGGCGUAGUCGAUGGGAAACAGGUUAAUAUUCCUGUACUUGGUGUUACUGCGAAGGGGGGACGGAGAAGGCUAUGUUGGCCGGGCGACGGUUGUCCCGGUUUAAGCGUGUAGGCUGGUUUUCCAGGCAAAUCCGGAAAAUCAAGGCUGAGGCGUGAUGACGAGGCACUACGGUGCUGAAGCAACAAAUGCCCUGCUUCCAGGAAAAGCCUCUAAGCAUCAGGUAACAUCAAAUCGUACCCCAAACCGACACAGGUGGUCAGGUAGAGAAUACCAAGGCGCUUGAGAGAACUCGGGUGAAGGAACUAGGCAAAAUGGUGCCGUAACUUCGGGAGAAGGCACGCUGAUAUGUAGGUGAAGUCCCUCGCGGAUGGAGCUGAAAUCAGUCGAAGAUACCAGCUGGCUGCAACUGUUUAUUAAAAACACAGCACUGUGCAAACACGAAAGUGGACGUAUACGGUGUGACGCCUGCCCGGUGCCGGAAGGUUAAUUGAUGGGGUCAGCGCAAGCGAAGCUCUUGAUCGAAGCCCCGGUAAACGGCGGCCGUAACUAUAACGGUCCUAAGGUAGCGAAAUUCCUUGUCGGGUAAGUUCCGACCUGCACGAAUGGCGUAAUGAUGGCCAGGCUGUCUCCACCCGAGACUCAGUGAAAUUGAACUCGCUGUGAAGAUGCAGUGUACCCGCGGCAAGACGGAAAGACCCCGUGAACCUUUACUAUAGCUUGACACUGAACAUUGAGCCUUGAUGUGUAGGAUAGGUGGGAGGCUUAGAAGUGUGGACGCCAGUCUGCAUGGAGCCGACCUUGAAAUACCACCCUUUAAUGUUUGAUGUUCUAACGUGGACCCGUGAUCCGGGUUGCGGACAGUGUCUGGUGGGUAGUUUGACUGGGGCGGUCUCCUCCUAAAGAGUAACGGAGGAGCACGAAGGUUGGCUAAUCCUGGUCGGACAUCAGGAGGUUAGUGCAAUGGCAUAAGCCAGCUUGACUGCGAGCGUGACGGCGCGAGCAGGUGCGAAAGCAGGUCAUAGUGAUCCGGUGGUUCUGAAUGGAAGGGCCAUCGCUCAACGGAUAAAAGGUACUCCGGGGAUAACAGGCUGAUACCGCCCAAGAGUUCAUAUCGACGGCGGUGUUUGGCACCUCGAUGUCGGCUCAUCACAUCCUGGGGCUGAAGUAGGUCCCAAGGGUAUGGCUGUUCGCCAUUUAAAGUGGUACGCGAGCUGGGUUUAGAACGUCGUGAGACAGUUCGGUCCCUAUCUGCCGUGGGCGCUGGAGAACUGAGGGGGGCUGCUCCUAGUACGAGAGGACCGGAGUGGACGCAUCACUGGUGUUCGGGUUGUCAUGCCAAUGGCACUGCCCGGUAGCUAAAUGCGGAAGAGAUAAGUGCUGAAAGCAUCUAAGCACGAAACUUGCC
rnacentral:rRNA from 1 species